CCUACGGGAGGCAGCAGUGGGGAAUAUUGCACAAUGGGGGAAACCCUGAUGCAGCGACGCCGCGUGAGUGAAGAAGUAUUUCGGUAUGUAAAGCUCUAUCAGCAGGGAAGAAAUAGCGACCUUUGGGUCGCCAGACGGUACCUGACUAAGAAGCCCCGGCUAACUACGUGCCAGCAGCCGCGGUAAUACGGAGGGGGCAAGCGUUAUCCGGAUGUACUGGGUGGAAAGGGAGCGUAGACGGCAGCACAAGUCUGAAGUGAAAUGCCGGGGGUUAACCCCGGAAAUGCUUUGGAAAAUGUGCAGCUAGAGUGCAGGAGAGGUAAGUGGAAUUCCUAGUGUAGCGGUGAAAUGCGUAGAUAUUAGGAGGAACACCAGUGGCGAAGGCGGCUUACUGGACUGUAACUGACGUUGAGGCUCGAAAGCGUGGGGAGCAAACAGGAUUAGAUACCCCAGUAGUC
rnacentral:rRNA from 1 species